rnacentral:rRNA from 1 species
ACCGCGGCGGCUGGCACAGAGUUAGCCGGUGCUUAUUCUGUCGGUAACGUCAAAACAGCAAGGUAUUAACUUACUGCCCUUCCUCCCAACUUAAAGUGCUUUACAAUCCGAAGACCUUCUUCACACACGCGGCAUGGCUGGAUCAGGCUUUCGCC